rnacentral:rRNA from 1 species
UACAGAGGGUGCGAGCGUUGUCCGGAAUUACUGGGCGUAAAGCGCACGUAGGCGGUGUUCCAUGUCAGAGGUGAAAGCCUGGGGCUCAACUCCAGAAUUGCCUUUGAAACGGGAACGCUUGAGUCCGAGAGAGGGUGGCGGAAUUCCUAGUGUAGAGGUGAAAUUCGUAGAUAUUAGGAAGAACACCAGUGGCGAAGGCGGCCACCUGGCUCGGUACUGACGCUCAGGUUCGAAAGCGUGGGGAGCAAACAGG